rnacentral:rRNA from 1 species
AGCGAACGCUGGCGGCAGGCUUAACACAUGCAAGUCGAGCGGGCGUAGCAAUACGUCAGCGGCAGACGGGUGAGUAACGCGUGGGAACAUACCUUUUGGUUCGGAACAACUGAGGGAAACUUCAGCUAAUACCGAAUAAGCCCUUACGGGGAAAGAUUUAUCGCCGAAAGAUUGGCCCGCGUCUGAUUAGCUAGUUGGUGAGGUAACGGCUCACCAAGGCGACGAUCAGUAGCUGGUCUGAGAGGAUGAUCAGCCACAUUGGGACUGAGACACGGCCCAAACUCCUACGGGAGGCAGCAGUGGGGAAUAUUGGACAAUGGGCGCAAGCCUGAUCCAGCCAUGCCGCGUGAGUGAUGAAGGCCCGUAGGGUU